rnacentral:tRNA from 1 species
GGGGAUGUAGUUUAGUUAGUAGAAUGCUUGCCUAGCAUGAACAAAGUUCUGGGUUCAAUUCCCAGCACUGCUU